UACGUAGGGUGCGAGCGUUGUCCGGAAUUAUUGGGCGUAAAGAGCUCGUACGCGGUUUGUCGCGUCUGCUGUGAAAACGCGAGGCUCAACCUCGCGCCUGCAGUGGGUACGGGCAGACUAGAGUGCGGUAGGGGAGAUUGGAAUUCCUGGUGUAGCGGUGGAAUGCGCAGAUAUCAGGAGGAACACAGAUGGCGAAGGCAGAUCGCUGGGCCGUAACUGACGCUGAGGAGCGAAAGCGUGGGGAGCGAACAGG
rnacentral:rRNA from 1 species